rnacentral:piRNA from 1 species
UAUGAGGUGUGACACUAACUGUGAAGGUC